UACGUAGGGUGCGAGCGUUGUCCGGAAUUAUUGGGCGUAAAGAGCUCGUAGGCGGUCCGUCGCGUCGGAUGUGAAAACUCGGGGCUCAACCCCGAGCCUGCAUUCGAUACGGGCAGACUAGAGUUCGGUAGGGGAGACUGGAAUUCCUGGUGUAGCGGUGAAAUGCGCAGAUAUCAGGAGGAACACCGGUGGCGAAGGCGGGUCUCUGGGCCGAUACUGACGCUGAGGAGCGAAAGCGUGGGGAGCGAACAGG
rnacentral:rRNA from 1 species